UGGGAAUCCGAGCUGGGCUCUGGAGCUGAGGUUGGCGGGUGCAGAAAGAAGGGCCCGGGAGGGGGCCGAAAGCUCUCAGUAGAGGUGCCUGCAAGGCCUUGGUUGCCAAGGUUACCUCUCAGUUUCUGACCACACAUAGAAACCUGAGGCUGAGUGAAGCCGAUCUGCAGGCAGAGGCUGGGCUGAGUUAUUCCAGGAGGAUGACAUCAGCUCACUCCUACACUACCUCAGUGGUGACAACCCUGCUCUGCUGCCCAGAGCUGAUAAGAAACAUCACCCAGGGAAGACCAGAUGCCUCUUCCUCACUUCCUAAUCAGAGUGGAGAUACUGCUAAAUAUAUUCAUAACUUUGCAAACAUCUUUGGGUAAUGUCCAGGCCCUCUUUUGUGGUUCCCUAUCAUCUUCUCUUAAAGUUGUACAUUUUAAUUUUAAGAUCAGCUCCAGGCCAGCUAGUCUGGGAUUUAUUCUUUAGAAUCAGGAACAGGAGAACAUCUUCUUGACCAAAAGGGGGAUGUGAAAGGAAAUGAAAUAAGCUUCAGUGGCAGAGAGAUUCCAAAAGGAGCCGAGAGGUCACUCUGGUGGGCACU